GAUGAACGCUGGCGGCGUGCUUAACACAUGCAAGUCGAACGGGAUCCCAGGAGCUUGCUCCUGGGUGAGAGUGGCGAACGGGUGAGUAAUGCGUGACCGACCUGCCCCAUACACCGGAAUAGCUCCUGGAAACGGGUGGUAAUGCCGGAUGCUCCAGUUGACCGCAUGGUCCUCUGGGAAAGAUUCAUCGGUAUGGGAUGGGGUCGCGUCCUAUCAGCUUGAUGGCGGGGUAACGGCCCACCAUGGCUUCGACGGGUAGCCGGCCUGAGAGGGCGACCGGCCACAUUGGGACUGAGAUACGGCCCAGACUCCUACGGGAGGCAGCAGUGGGGAAUAUUGCACAAUGGGCGCAAGCCUGAUGCAGCGACGCCGCGUGCGGGAUGACGGCCUUCGGGUUGUAAACCGCUUUUGACUGGGAGCAAGCCCUUCGGGGUGAGUGUACCUUUCGAAUAAGCAC
rnacentral:rRNA from 1 species